AGAGUAAUUAAUAUCCAGGUAAUAUGUAAACAAAUUGUUGGAAAACCUUGGCGUAUUGUCAUUGACAUUGUUGACAUUGAUGGUUAGAGACGCACUAUCGGUUAAAGCACCAUCAGACACUUUAACUGUACAGGUAUAAGACGUUGCAGAUCCGGCAGCAUCAACGUCAAUAUCAGUAGCUAGGCUGAUGAAUCCUGUUGUAGGAGAUAUCGAAAAGUAUCCAACAUUUGAUGCACAGUUCAUAGAAAACUUAUGUGUGUCACCA
rnacentral:lncRNA from 1 species